AUCUCGAGAUCUCUGCUUUACUUUCUCUCUCCGUCUAUAUAUUAAAUAUAUUAUGCAAAUAAAUCUUCCUGAUUCUCACAAUCUCACAGGACUAACAGGAGAUAGAAAAAGCUGGACGGGCAUUGGGAUGGGAAGAAACAGAGGAAGGAGUGAUCUGUUCUGAACUUCGCUAGGGUUUUUGCUCUCUAUAUCCGAUCAAAGACGGUGGUUGCGAAAUGGGCAGGAGAGAUUUGAAACAGCUGUCUCAAUCCGUAAAAGAAAUCAGAAUUGGGUCGGUCGGUGAGACACUCUCCUUUCUCUCUCUCUCUUCCUUCUGUAAAAAAAAUAAAAGAAGUUUUUUGUCCCUUUUUUAACCCCUCUUUUGAAUCUUCUUUGCUUCCAUUAGGAACAUCGGCAAAGAAUAACCCCAGAUUGAAGCAAACAGCCCAUGUUUUCAGAAUGAUUACCAUUUACUACGUUUGAAGUGUAAUUACAGCCAUGGACCAGUAAGGUAAUAAGUGAAGGUAUCUUUCUAUUGACAUCUUAUGAUCUUAAUGAAAAUUAUAUACACAUCGGAUUAGAACUAAUUGAUUGUAAUUACGAUGAUAAUUACUAAAUACCUUAAAUUGUCAACGUUGAAUCGUUGAUGUUAAAUCAUCUUCAUCCUGGUUGCAAUUUGCACCAGGUGUGUAUAAAUAGUAUCCUAAUUAUUAUUAAAUGAGUCGUCAGUCAUGAAUACAUUUAUUGUAUUCAAUACAAUUGAUGGUAAAAUACUGUAUAGUGUAUGACCACAAAGCUGAAAGCGUGCAUCAGGCGAAGGGAAGUACCAGGAUUAUUAUUAAAAAAAAGGAGGUACCAGAUAUUAAAUACAGUGGUGUACUUUUUUUCUAUUUUGAAUUUAAUAAGGGUUUCCUAAAUCACUCUCACUGAUUUUCUUGAUGAUCUUGUGAUAGUCUUUAACGAGGAUUAAUUGAUGCAGAGGAGUUUGAAAACAAAAACAAUCUGUUAUAGAACUUGUAGAAAUUUCUAUAUAUUUUUUUAAUCUCUAAACUAACAGAUAAACUGAUCUUUUUUAAUCUCUAAUUUAUUUUUAAAACCUUUAUACAUGUACAAUACCAGAUUACAAUUUACAAGAUGAUAACUUAUGAGACGAAUGU
rnacentral:lncRNA from 1 species